CUCGCAUGUCCGCACCGCCUUAGCCGAGGAUGCUGAGGAUGAAGCUGCCGCUGAAGCCGACGCACCCCGCGGAGCCGCCGCCCGAGGCGGAGGAGCCCGAGGCGGACGCGCGGCCAGGCGCGAAGGCGCCGCCGCGCCGCCGCCGCGACUGCCGCCCCCCGCCGCCGCCGCCGCCGCCGCUCUCGGGUCCGCCGCGGGGCCCCCCGCCACAGCCGCCGCCGCCACCCGGGGGGCUCGGGCAGCCUGUUGCUGGCGGAUCGGCGGCGGGGGCGGGCAUGCCGAGCGGCGGCGGCGGCGGGCCCACGGCGGCGCUGCGCGAGCAGGAGCGGGUGUAUGAGUGGUUCGGGCUGGUGCUGGGCUCGGCGCAGCGCCUGGAGUUCAUGUGCGGGCUGCUGGACCUGUGCAACCCGCUGGAGCUGCGCUUCCUCGGCUCGUGCCUGGAGGACUUGGCGCGCAAGGACUACCACUACCUGCGCGACUCGGAGGCCAAGGCCAACGGCCUCUCGGACCCGGGGCCGCUGGCCGACUUCCGAGAGCCCGCCGUGCGCUCGCGCCUCAUCGUCUACCUGGCGCUGCUGGGUUCCGAGAACCGUGAGGCCGCCGGCCGCUUGCACCGCCUCCUGCCCCAGGUGGACUCGGUGCUUAAGAGCCUGCGCGCGGCCCGGGGCGACGUCUCGCGGGGCGGCGCGGAGGACGAGCCCGGCGAGGACGGCGACAACGAGGAGGACGCCGAGAAGGACGGCUCUGGCCCGGAAGGCGGCGGCGCUGAGCCUCAGCCCGGAGGCGGGCUGGGCUUCAGGGCCCAGGAGGAACUGCUGCUGCUCUUCACCAUGGCCUCGCUGCACCCGGCGUUCUCCUUCCACCAGCGGGUCACCCUGAGGGAGCACCUGGAGAGGCUCCGCGCCGCGCUCCGCCGGAGCCCCGAAGACGGGGAGGCGGAGCCGUGCAACUUUGCCGGCCCCAGGGCCCAGAAUGACUCUGCUCAUGGUGAUUAUAUGCAAAGUAAUGAGGCCAGUUUAAUGGAACAAGCCCCGAUACCUCAUGAUGGACUUACUGUGGCACCUCAUAGAACCCAGCGAGAAGCUGUACACAUUGAGAAGAUAAUGUUGAAAGGAGUCCAGAGAAAAAGGGCUGACAAAUAUUGGGAGUACACCUUCAAAGUAAAUUGGUCUGAUCUUUCAGUCACAACAGUAACAAAAACCCACCAAGAACUACAGGAAUUUCUGCUGAAGCUUCCAAAGGAGUUGUCCUCGGAGACUUUUGACAAGACCAUCUUAAGAGCCCUGAAUCAGGGCUCAUUGAAGAGGGAAGAACGGCGGCACCCUGACCUGGAGCCCAUCCUGAGGCAGCUAUUUUCAACUUCGUCACGAGCUUUUCUACAGAAUCAGAAAGUACACAGCUUUUUUCAGUCCAUAUCAUCAGACCCUUUCCACAGCCUCAAUAACUUACAAUCCAAUCUGAAGACUUCUAAGAUAUUAGAACACUUAAAAGAAGACAGCUCAGAAGCUUCAAGUCAAGAAGAAGAUGUGUUACAGCACACCAUAAUCCACAAGAAACAUACCGGGAAAAGUCCCCUUGUGAACACUAUUGGUACAAGUUGUUCUCCGUUGGAUGGGCUCACCAUGCAGUAUUCUGAGCAGAAUGGCAUCAUGGAUUGGAGGAAGCAGACCUGCACCACCGUUCAGCACCCGGAGCACUGUGUGGCCUUAGCUGACCAGCAUUCAACUGAAAAACGAAGUUUAUCUUCAAUAAAUAAGAAGAAGGGAAAGCCACAAAUAGAAAAGGAGAAAAUUAAGAAAACUGACAACAGAUUGAACAGUAGAAUAAAUGGUAUUCGAAUCUCCGCUCCUCAGCACGCCCACGGUGGUUCUGUGAAAGAUGUGAAUUUGGACAUUGGAUCUGGACAUGACACAUGUGGAGAAACAUCUUCAGAGAGUUACAGUUCUCCAUCUAGCCCACGACAUGAUGGAAGAGAAAGUUUUGAAAGUGAAGAAGAAAAAGACAGAGACACAGACAGCAAUUCUGAGGAUUCUGGAAAUCCAUCAACAACCAGGUUUGCAGGUUAUGGUUCUGUCAACCAGACUGUCACUGUCAAGCCACCUGUUCAGAUUGCUUCAUUAGGAAACGACGAUGCAAGCCUCUUAGAAGAUCCCUUAAGCUCACCCAAGUAUCAGCAUAUUUCUUUUAUGCCAACUUUACACUGUGUCAUGCACAAUGGUGCCCAGAAGUCUGAGGUGGUCGUUCCUCCACCCAGAUCUGCUGAUGGUAAAACAAUAGGGGUGCUUGUUCCUAGCCCUGUUGCUCUCUCUGCAGGAAGGGAGUCCACGAACUCAACCCCCGUCGGAGUACUAGGGCCAACAGCUUCUACUGCAGAAUCAGAAAAGCACCUUGAAUUACUGGCGUCCCCUUUACCUGUUCCAUCAACAUUCCUUCCACACAGUAGUACUCCCGCUUUGCACCUCACAAUUCAGAGGCUAAAACUGCCGCCGCCGCCGGGAUCUUCCGAGAGUUGCACAGUGAACCUCUCCCAGCAACCAACCGGGAGUCUGAGCGUCGGAUCACCAAACACUGCCUUUAUUCCUGUUCAUAAUCCAGGUAGUUUUCCAGGAUCUCCUGUGGCUGCCACAGACCCCAUCACAAAAUCUGCAUCUCCAGUGGCAGGACUAAAUCAAAUGGUGCCUCAGAUUGAGGGCAACACGGGGACAGCCCCUCAGCCUGCCAAUGUGAAGGUAGUUCUUCCAGCAGCCGGCCUCUCGGCCGUACAGCCACCAGCUUCCUACCCCUUGCCAGGCUCUCCCCUUGCGGCCGGGGUGUUACCCAGCCAGAAUUCCACCGUCCUCAGCACGGCGGCAACGUCUGCCCAGUCAGCGGGAGCAGGCGUCAGCCAGGCCCAGUCGAGUGUUCCCCCCGCGGUUCCUACCCACACCCCCGGCCCCGCCCCAAGCCCGAGCCCUGCUUUGACACACAGUACUGCGCAGGGCGACAGCACGUCUUACAUCAGUGCUGUGGGAAACACGAACGCCAGCGGGACAGUGUUGCCUCCGCAGCAGAUGGGCUCAGGUCCUUGUGGUUCCUGUGGGCGAAGGUGCAGCUGUGGGACCAAUGGAAACCUUCAGCUAAAUAGUUACUAUUAUCCUAAUCCAAUGCCUGGACCAAUGUACCGAGUCCCAUCGUUCUUUACUCUGCCAUCCAUCUGCAAUGGCAGCUACCUCAACCAAGCACAUCAGAGCAAUGGAAACCAACUUCCUUUUUUUCUGCCUCAGACUCCAUAUGCAAAUGGACUGGUGCAUGACCCAGUCAUGGGGAGCCAAGCCAACUAUGGCAUGCAGCAGAUGGCAGGAUUCGGGAGAUUCUAUCCUGUGUACCCAGCACCCAAUGUAGUUGCCAACACGAGCGGUUCGGGGCCCAAGAAGAACGGGAACGUUUCAUGUUACAACUGUGGUGUAAGCGGGCACUAUGCGCAGGAGUGUAAGCAGUCGUCCAUGGAGGCCAGUCAACAAGGCACUUACAGACUGAGAUACGCACCUCCCCUCCCCCCUUCUAAUGAUACGUUGGAUUCUGCAGACUGAAACAAGUAAAGCUUGCCUACUUAAUACACUGAAGUGUGGGGAGUCAUGGUUGGGGUGUGGAGGGGAGGAAAGGAAAGGUAGCAUCUAGUACUUGAGCACCACCAUCCAUCUCCAACUUGAUCCACUGUAAAAGGUCUCGCACGGCCAGCCUCUCACCAAAAGAAAUUGCUAAUUGGGAAGUGGCGCCACCUGGUGGGGAACGAGGACAAUGCAAGCAAGCCGACAUCAUUGCCCACUUGACCUGAUGUAGAGAAAAUUGAACGUAAGGCAGAAAACAUUUGAGAUUGUAAACCUGUGCUCAAAACCUUAAAGAAUGCGGGCAACUGGCCAUAAAAGCAAUUUGAGCGGUCUCCUCUUUCAGCCAUUGCAAUCUCAAUUUGUUAUAAACAUCUUAAACGCAUUGAUGGUACUUCAGAGUUUCCUUUGCACUGUUCUCUGUGCUUAUUGGCCUGCACAACUGUGAAGGGCAUGGGGUCUUCCUCCUCCCUGUUUUACAGAUUAGGAACUCAGGGUUCAGAGGGGUUAAGUGCCACAGACAUGCCGCCAGUGAUGAAGGCCAGGCCCCAACUUCAGAUUAGUGCUUACCUCCUGCCCCACUUCCUGGCCUGCAACUGCUUCUCCACUGAACCCAGGGCAAUGACCUUUUAAACCAUACAGAGCGAUAGGCACCCAUGGUCUUAAGAACCAUGGGGCUUCUGGAUUCCUGAGAGAGGAGUGGGCUGGGUCCUGGUCAGUCAGAAUGUCUCUUUUCUGUAUCUCUGUUGAAGGGGUGAGGGAAAGUUUGCAGAGCUGGGAGACUUCAGGCCUUUUAGAACUAGGCUUUCAGUGUUUGCCUGUGUCAGAUGAGUUCAAGGAGCAGCAACUGUUGCCUACAUCCAAGGUUUGAAACAUGCACCAACAUACUCUGUUGGAACACUGAGUCUUGCUCUGCAAAGGUUUUUAUUAUCCCCAGAUGUCUCGGUGACUAUUGAGCAUUUGGUGACUAUUCCAUUAAUUUUAAUACUUCAGAACUUAAGAAAUGCAGUAGCAGGGCACACAGAAAAGACACUUCACUGCUGAUAUUUGCAAAGCUCUGACAGUUAUAUAUAGAUUGUCCCAAGCACUCCCUCUACCAGCCACUGCAACUCAAAGACACUCCAAAGACCAAAAAUGACAGAGGCAAAGUCACCUUCAAGCAGGAACAGUGACAGUCACACCCACCCCAAAAGCCUUUCUGGAUGUUAAGAAUGCCACCAGGUCACCUAGUACUCGGUGCACAUUCUUGCUAGCGUAUCAGGGUUGGGUAUUAGUGACAUGGUAACUCACUUUUGCAUUGGAAGCCUCCAUCAGAUGAACUUGUACAAGAGGUGGCGCUGGUAAAGCCUUAUUUUCAGCACCCACCCACAGUACGCAUGACCUUUCUCAGGCUCAUUUACAGAAUGGGGAUAACAUCCACUUUGUUAGAAUAGUUACAAGGAUUGAAUCUGGCAAAAUACAUAAAGCACUCAGCGUCUGGCACACAGUAGGUGCUCAGGAAAUUCGUGAUGGUGGCGAACGCCUUCAUGCCCAGCGGGGGGCAGACACAUUUCAGCCUCACUGCAGCCAAACGAGGUGGGUACUCCGCUCCACCUUACCGUUGGGGAGGUUGAGGCGUGAAGGCCGCCCAAGUGUCUGAGGGUACAGAGCGGUUCAGUGGUAGGGCUGGGACUGGUACCCGCCGCUCUUAGCCCCCAGGCUCCUCCAAUUCUUUGUGCCCGGGUCACAGGAUGCCACAGGCAUGGCGUGACAGUGCAGGGCACCCCCCACGGGGGUCAGGUAGGCAGGACUCAGGCCGGCUCUGCCGUAAACUCUGUCGUCUUGAACACCUGGCCCUCCUGGACCUUCAUUUUUCUUACCCGAAAGCUGAGUGUUGCUUGGAAAAGAGUGGUAGAAACUGAGCUAAAUGACCUUAGAAUUCUGUGGCUUGAAGCUUACUUUUUCACUUUAAGUGAUUUAUCAAGUUUUUAUAAUUCUUUACCUUUACACUUUUGUUUUAACUGAUUUGAAGUCCUUUUUGGGUGUGGUCAGGAGCACAAACCCCAGCUGUCACCAUGUGCUAACAGGACAGGAAACGUUUCCAGGUCCUUAGGGAACGGCGAGAGAAAAGACCCCAGUUGGGGCUGGCUGGGCACUAGGUGGCAGCACCGGGUUCUGACCGUGUCUGGUCCAGCGGAGGAGCAGGUGCUCUGUCCUCUGUCAUCAAGAUUCUAGGCUCUCCUCUACUCGUACUGAUAAAGUUUUCACUUAGGCGGGCCUUCUAGUCAAAAAAUGAAGCUCGCAUACUGAGUCCUGUGCUGAAGGACACAGGGUUAGCCGUAGCUCACAGGUCGGCAAUGCGUAGAGAUGGACAAACUACGGUCCACAGCUAAGAAUGGUUUUUACAUCUUUAAAUGGUUGAAAAGAAUACGUUUUCAUGACGCAUAAAAAAUGAUAUGAAAUUCACAUUUCAGUGUGCACAAAUAAAGUUUCUUGGAACACGGCCACUCGUUUGUCUCGUUGUGGCUGCUUUCGUCGGAAAUGGCCAAGUUGAGCAGUUACGACAGAGACCACGUGGCCCUCAGAGCCUGAGGUACUGUCUGCGCCUUUAUGGAAAAAGCUUGCCGACCCCUGACACACAGCAACCUUCUCUAAGUAAAGGUGCGCUCUCCGGUGUCUUUCAGGUCCUACGUGCGAGUGCAGGAAUUUCACUCUCUCCUUUUUGCUGCUGGGUCUUCUUAGCAAAAUGAGAUCACCUCUGGUGCACACAUUCCAUCAGCCGUUUAGCAAAUAUCUCUUGGCUGGGAGCUGAGUGUCACGAGGGGCAUAACCAGCUACAGCCUGGUCACAAGCUGUGGGAUCCCAGCGGGUGGACAGGUGAACUCUGCCUGCUGAGAACUGGGAAAGGGUUUCCAAAGGACAGCAUUUCCGCUGGGCCAGAAAGGAAGAAGUGAGAUAUUCUUAGUGAAGAGGUAAAGAGAUGGCGAAGAAAAUGUCAUCGAAG